CUGCCUCAGCCUCUCAAAGUGCUGGGAUUACAGGCAUGAGCCACGGUGCCUGGGCUGACAAAUAUUUAUUAUUGAGUUUGUGGAACCCAGAAUGAUCUAGGGCCUCAGUGGCCACUGAACCCUGGGGCACACUUGAACAAAAAUAUGGGCUUCUCAGCCACUAUGCCUUGACAUCCUCUCUAAUCAGAAGUUUGUGUAAUAAGUGCAAAAGACAAUAUUCACAGUGACAAUGAUACUGUGAACUGCCAUAGGGAGAGUAGACAUGACUGUGGUGACAAUGCAGCGGCAGCAGGACCCUGUCCUCUCAUAAGUGGGCAUCCUUUCCCCAUGUGAACACCACAUAGCAGAAACGCCCAUCUUCCAAAGCCCUUUUAUCAUGUUAUGAAUUAUUUACACUUCCAUAUAUUUCAGUUAAAGAGUGGUAAUCAGAUCUGUAUGGAUGCCACUUGGGUCAUUUGUCAUUUCACUUGAAGGCAAAGAAAUGUUUUUAACUGGUAAGUACAACCUUAUCAUAAAAGUCUAUUUUCUGUAAGAAAUACUGAAAAUAUAUUAAAGACCUCCCUUAGUGCCCUUCAGGACACAUAAGAAUCCUAAUAUACCAGGUUGGGAACCAUUGCUAUAGGAUUUGAAAGGAAUAGUAAAUAGUAUUAUCUGAAAGUGAAGAGGAAGAAGAGAUUCUACUUAAAAAUAUUUGUUAAAUGACUGAAAGAAAUAAAUCUAUGAAGUCGUUUAGAACAUGGUCCUUUAGGGAAAGACCUGCCUGCUGUAGAUUCCAUUCACAUUUUAUACGUUUGUAAUGCCUUACAAAGCUAGUCUUUGCACUUAAAGCUACUGCUAACUGAGCAAUAGAAUCACACCUCAUAAGGCUUAAACUGUGUAUUUAAAGGUUUUGAUAGGGGAUCCAGAAAUCUGAGUGAAACCCUGGGUUCUGCAGGUACACAUGGCUCAUGUAUAAGGCAUUUGAAGGGCUUGUGGCCUUGAUGGGGAACACUGUCAACUCUGAUCCUGUUUGUCUGAGGUUACUUGGGGUACAAGAUGAAGACAGAAGGGCGUGCCUCCCUUCUGGAACCAUCACGGCCAGCAGCCGCAUGUUGGGCAGCUGCUGAUACUCAGGGUGCCCAGGCGGGAGAUGGUGAGAGGCCAGCCCUAGCCAAAUUCCUUGCUGCUGCCAGAGGAAGCAGUCUUGCCAUGUGUGUCCACAGGGAUAAGAUUAGCUGCCGAGGUGGAGCUGAUAUCUGAGCGAGGCUCUCGAGGACACAUUCUGGAUAGAUCUCCAUAUGGGAGUUGGAUGACUGCCACCAGCCAGUCUUGGCAGUCCCCAGAAUUCUUCUGAAGUGGACAGUGGAAGAAGUGAAACAUUUGCCUGGCAGCUGGCAUCAAUGCAGUCUCUCUCUGGACAUGCAGAAGAAAAGGUUCAAAAGGAACUGAACCCAAACCAGUCUUUAUUUGAUUUUAGAUGGAAUUAAAACAUUUUUGUGGGUCUCGACAAGUAUUGCCAGCACUGCACCUGCCACCCUGAUAGCAAACUCCAGUGGAAGUAACAGCAGAUCUUGCAAAUAGAGAAACAUCUGCCUCAGUUCUGAAGCAAGCAAGUGACCAUCCUCAUGCCACAAAAUAGAAGAACUUCUGCUAGAUCCAGAACUGUCACCCCUGGGUCGCAUGGAGGCCUUGAGGGUUGGGAUUCAAUCCUCAUUCCUGAGAAGGAGCUCUAGAACCCCAUUGUGAAUGUGGACAUUGUUAUGGAUGCAAAUGUCCACCUGUGCAGAGAAUUAGGCAAGACAGAGAGAGGUGUUUUUCUGGGAAGACUGUCUGAGCGAGCAACCACAAAGUUUCUGGUCAUGGUUCCUGCCCUGCCUCCCUCUCUACUUUGGAGCUCCUGUAACUCCAAGUGGAUAAUAUACGGUUUUGUUUUUGUCAUUGUUAUUGUUGAUGUUGCUUGUCUUUACUUUGUAAAAUAUGAACCUUUCAUCAUAUGAGUGAUUUUGGCAAAAUGCACCUCAGACAUUCAAAUACUUCCUAUUUAUUAAGCGCCUCCCACUGUGCAAUCCAUAUGCUAGGCACUGCAGAUGAUGUCUUAGUCUUUAUAACAACCUUGCAGGUUGGAUAGCAUUGUUCCCUUUUCAGAAAUGUGGGAACAUGCCCAAGGUUCAGGGUAUUCUAAGUGGGAGAAUUCAGAUCCAGCUCACUCAGAGGUCUCUGCUGGCCCAGGUCUGUCCAUUGUCUUCUAGUGUAAAUGAAGGCAGCUGCUCUGAAGGCAGGAGGACCAGGCUUAAUCUGAAACCUGUGAUCAUUGAAACAAGCAUGGCCUGCUCUGCACAGGGUUCAAAUGAAUAGGUCUCUAUUUUCUCCUUUCUACAUAAUCACUCAAAUAAGAUAGGGACUAGAGUCAGGCAAGUGAGACUCUCAUCCCAGGAAGAAAAUAGAAGGGAGCACAAAAAAACUCAGUAAUCAAGAUAAAUAAUAACUUUAAUACAAUACAGUGUUUUAAAAAAUCAAGUCCUCAAACUAUAGCUGUCUGCCUAGCUAUUUUUAAACAUAAAGCUUUACCAAGGCUGGGAUGAGGCUUGAGCAAAUGAGGCCAGUUGUACAAGUUCAGUGUCAGAUCCUAUUUAAAGUUUUGAUAUUUUGUUCAUCAUGUUUAUUUUUUUCAUUAAUUCUAUCUGAAGCACCCACCCACCUUCUCAGCAGAUAUCUCCCUCUGGGGCUACCCUUUCCACAUGAGUUAUAGGGACCUGUGAUGUGCAAAAGGAAGUUACACAACUUCUCUUCAUGAUUUCUGUCUUUUGGGCACAAAAUUCUGACUUUUGAAGAAUACAGUUGCAUAAUCACCACCACAAUCAAGAUAUACAACAGUUCCAUUAUCCUAAAUAGUCAUCCCAUCCUCCACUCCCAAUAACUGGCAACUACCGGUCUGUUUUUCUGUCCCUAUAGUUUUGCCUUUUCCAGAAUGUCAUUUACAUGGAACAAUAUAGUAUGAAGCCUCUUGAGCCUGGCUCCUUUCAUUUAGUAUAAGUAUCUGAGAGUCUUCCAUGUUGUGUGUAGCAGUAGUUCCUAUCUUUGUAUUGCUGGCUAGUAUUCCAUUGUUGGAUGUACUUAUUUGGGUUGUUUUCAGCUUGGGGAGGCUAUGAAUAAACCACUGUAAACACUUGCUUUCAGAGUUUUACAUGCAUAUAAGUUUUCAUUUACUUUGGGUAAAUACCUAUGAGUGGGUUUAUUGGAUCAUUUGAUAUGUCUACUUUUCACUUUCUAAGAAACUGCCAGACUAGUUUCCAAAGGGGCCCUUUUGCAUUCCCACCAGCAAUUGACUUUAGUUUUUGAGGGUGGGACUAAGGAGGACCCAAUCCCCAGGUGUGUUGACAUCCCUACCUCCCAACUGUGAAUGGGGUCAAGACCUCUGGCAUCUUAGUGACGGGCACCUUAGCACUCCCCAGCAAUCUCUGAGGAGUGAGGACAUGGAAGGAGGGAUUUCUGGGUUGUCUUGGAGAUCUACUCAAAGGACGUUGUGAAACCUAGGUGUUCAACAACAAAUAAAUAGAUAAAGAAAAUGCGGUGUAUAUAUACCAUGGAAUACUAUUCAGCCAU
rnacentral:lncRNA from 1 species